rnacentral:rRNA from 1 species
AAUGAACGUUGGCGGCGUGGAUUAGGCAUGCAAGUCGAGCGUACCCAGCAAUGGGGAAGCGGCAAACGGGGUAGUAAGGCGUCGGUACGUGCCCUCGGGACGAGGAUAGCCACGGGAAACUGUGGGUAAUACUCGAUGAUCUCGUGAGAGCAAAGGUGUGAUUCCGCCAGGGGAGCGGCCGACGUGGUAUUAGGUAGUUGGUGGGGUAAUGGCCCACCAAGCCUGGGAUGCCUAGGGGGUGUGAGAGCAUGGCCCCCACCAUUGGGACUGAGAUACUGCCCAGACACCUACGGGUGGCUGCAGUCGAGAAUCUUCGGCAAUGGGCGCAAGCCUGACCGAGCGACGCCGCGUGCGGGAUGAAGGCCUUCGGGUUGUAAACCGACUGUCAGAGGGGAGUGAAAUCACAGUGGGUUCUCCACUUGUGUUGACAGAGCCUCAGAGGAAGCGGCGGCGUAAGUUCGUGCCAGCAGCC